CACGGACGCGGUAUGCUGCAAAAGCCGCUUUCGUGAUCUAUCGUCGCGACGAUAGAUCGGGUUUUUUUAUUAUUAUAAGUAAUGAUCCAGCUGUAAGGCGCAUGUAACCGACAAACGGAAGUCUCAGGAGAGCACCUGAGAUUAUAAUAAAGCAGGCGUCGCAGGAACUCCAGGGUACCCAAGGGACAGUGGGGGGAUCAAAGUUCGAAGCAGAACAGUACGUAGGUUGGGGCCGCCGAGUCAGGUCAACGCCUCCUAUAACUAUAUGCCUGGAACGUCGCUCUCUUUUCCAUAGGGAGCUCUCUGCCGAGUGUUGCGACCAUGCGCCGCAGGACGGCGCGCGCCACCGUACCGGUCCCCAUGGCAACCACUGCCGCCGCCGCCGCCGAAAGCUCACGACGCGCCAGCCGCUUGGCUGCCGACGUCGCUCCCGGCUGGCUCCCGGUAGCCGCGCCACCGGCGUGUUUACAAGGGCUGGCCGCAAGAGGCGCUUGCCACCGUACCAAAAGGAGCAUGAGACGCCGAUGUAUGUCGAUCUAAUGGGGACCAAGCGGCCCAACAUGUAUGCUGCUAUUGCUGCUUCACCAAGGUUACAUUCGCACUCCUUGACUUCAACCUGAAUCAGCAGCUUCUUCGGGAGGAGAAUUUUCGCAGGAAGCUUUGACUUCCUGCAACAACUUCGGGUGAAGGGCACAUUUUGUGAGUCUCCUGCCACCUGAAUCUACAGCACAAUGCCCCAAGGGUUAAGCUGAUUUGUCAGGAGAAAGACCACAUGCUUUCAACCACAGUGGCCACUGUAUCUACCAAGGACUAUCAGUAGCUUCUGCAGCAGCGACCAUGCUGGCCAUGAGAUCAGCCUACAGUCCACGCAGAAAUGAAGUUUGUAAUGAAGCGCUUAUUUCAGGCAAAUGGUGUUACCGGUUAUUUGUUGUAGGCUUUUUCAGUUGCUUCAUUGGCUCCUUUUGCCAACUUCUGCCUUUGUUUUGUUGUUUUGUGCUUGAACAAAAACAUUGUUUUUGUUCCAAAGGUGAUCUUUGCUUUCUCGAUUUAUUCAGUUUUGACUAUGCCUUCCAUUGCAAGGUGGCUGAGCAAC